rnacentral:rRNA from 1 species
GAUGAACGCUGGCGGCGUGCUUAACACAUGCAAGUCGAACGAAGCACUUUAUUUGAUUUCCUUCGGGACUGAUUAUUUUGUGACUGAGUGGCGGACGGGUGAGUAACGCGUGGGUAACCUGCCUUGUACAGGGGGAUAACAGUUGGAAACGGCUGCUAAUACCGCAUAAGCGCACAGCAUCGCAUGAUGCAGUGUGAAAAACUCCGGUGGUAUAAGAUGGACCCUCGUUGGAUUAGCUAGUUGGUGAGGUAACGGCCCACCAAGGCGACGAUCCAUAGCCGACCUGAGAGGGUGACCGGCCACAUUGGGACUGAGACACGGCCCAAACUCCUACGGGAGGCAGCAGUGGGGAAUAUUGCACAAUGGGCGAAAGCCUGAUGCAGCGACGCCGCGUGAGCGAAGAAGUAUUUCGGUAUGUAAAGCUCUAUCAGCAGGGAAGAUAAUGACGGUACCUGACUAAGAAGCACCGGCUAAAUACGUG